rnacentral:rRNA from 1 species
CACUUCUAAGGAAGGCAGCAGGCGCGCAAAUUACCCAAUCCUGACUCAGGGAGGUAGUGACAAGAAAUAACAAUAAACCGGCUUAUGCCGGUUUAAUUGGAAUGAGUACAAUUUAAACAUCUUAACGAGGAACAAUUGGAGGGCAAGUCUGGUGCCAGCAGCCGCGGUAAUUCCAGCUCCAAUAGCGUAUACUAAAGUUGUUGCAGUUAAAAAGCUCGUAGUUGGAUUUCUGUGGGGACGGAGCGGCCGGCCGCAACACGCGGUUCGAGCUAGCGCUUUCCCUACAUCCUGCCGCGAACCGUGCUACCAUUAGUUUGGUGGCGCCGGGGAUCGGCUCGAUUACUUUGAGAAAAAUAGAGUGUUCAAAGCAGGCCACACGCCUUGAAUAAGUUAGCAUGGAAUAAUAACUAAGGACUUCGGUUCUAUUUUGUUGGUGUUCGGGACUGAAGUAAUGAUUGAUAGGGACAGUUGGGGCGGUCUGUAUUCCAAAGCGAGAGGUGAAAUUCUUAGACCUUCGGAAGACAAACAGCUGCGAAAGCGUUCCGCAAGGAUGUUCCCUUUGAUCAAGAACGAAAGUUGGGGGAUCGAAGACGAUCAGAUACCGUCGUAGUCUCAACUAUAAACUAUACCAGCUAGGGAUCGGCCAACGUUAUUCUAUACCGACUUGGUCGGCACCUUAUGAGAAAUCAAAGCAUCUGGGUUCCGGGGGGAGUAUGGUCGCAAGGCUGAAACUUAAAGGAAUUGACGGAAGGGCACCACCAGCCGUGGAGCCUGUGGCUUAAUUUGACUCAACACGGGAAAACUUACCAGGUCCAGACAUAGUAAGGAUUGACAGAUUGAUAGCUCUUUCUUGAUUCUGUGGGUGGUGGUGCAUGGCCGUUCUUAGUUGGUGGAGUGAUUUGUCUGGUUAAUUCCGUUAACGAACGAGACCCCAGCCCGCUAAAUAGCGCGUGUGAGCUUUGCUCGCAGCGAGCUUCUUAGAGGGACUAUGAUGCGCGAUAGCACAUGGAAGUUUGGGGCAAUAACAGGUCUGUGAUGCCCUUAGAUGUUCUGGGCCGCACACGGGCUACACUGGCGCCUGCAACGAGCAUAUCAGCUGGCCCGAGAGGGUCUUGGCUAAUCUUUUGAACCGGCGCCGUGCUUGGGAUUGACCUUUGCAAUUGUUGGUCAUGCAACGAGGAAUGCCUUGUAAACGCGAGUCAUCAGCUCGCAUUGAAUACGUCCCUGCCCUUUGUACACACCGCCCGUCGCUCCUACCGAUGAAUGUUCCGAUGAAAUUUUCGGAGAGUGCCUGUGAACUUGGCUCUGCCUUGCGAACGGGAAGCUCAAAGUCACUUAAAUCUGAACAUUUCG